GACGAACGCUGGCGGCGUGCUUAACACAUGCAAGUCGAACGGAAAGGCCCUGCUUUUGUGGGGUGCUCGAGUGGCGAACGGGUGAGUAACACGUGAGUAACCUGCCCUUGACUUUGGGAUAACUUCAGGAAACUGGGGCUAAUACCGGAUAGGAGCUCCUGCCGCAUGGUGGGGGUUGGAAAGUUUCGGCGGUUGGGGAUGGACUCGCGGCUUAUCAGCUUGUUGGUGGGGUAGUGGCUUACCAAGGCUUUGACGGGUAGCCGGCCUGAGAGGGUGACCGGCGACAUGGGGACUGAGAUACGGCCCAGACUCCUACGGGAGGCAGCAGUGGGGAAUAUUGCACAAUGGGCGGAAGCCUGAUGCAGCAACGCCGCGUGCGGGAUGACGGCCUUCGGGUUGUAAACCGCUUUCGCCUGUGACGAAGCGUGAGUGACGGUAAUGGGUAAAGAAGCACCGGCUAACUACGUG
rnacentral:rRNA from 1 species